UUAAGAAUUUUGAUAAUUUUUAAUAAAUAUGAUAAAUACAACUAAUCUCUGCAUAGACAGAAUCAACACAAAUGUAUAAACUUGCAAUUCAUUUAAAUAGAGCAUAGUUGUGAUUCACAGAUGUUAAUUGCCACAUAUAUUCCUAUUCAUUCAUAUUGUACAAAUAUGAAACUUUGUCUUUAUUUUCUCUUGAAUAUCAGCAUCAGACUACAAAACAGUUGUCUGACGCUGCAUCAUCUGGUGUGCAAAGUAAAUGACAGGGGAACGGAAGUUAACAACAAAUAAGAUCCAAGGAGAAAAAUAUAUCCACAGGAAUCUUGGCUUUGGGCCUUGUACAAAUGAGUUUGUGCAUGUGAACACGCCUUGCAAUCUGUGAUGUUCCUGUAAUGGGACUCCUGACUAAGUCUUCUGGAUAAUGCAGUAACAGAGUCUUGAUCAAAGCUGUCCUUGGGAUGAAGGUAAAGGCCACGUUCUAAUGCAUGCACUCGUGAUUUCAUGCAUGGCUUAUUGUUUUCCCAAGCCCAAAUUUUAAAAUGAUGAAUUACUCCUUUAAAAACAAUAAUGGAAACAUAAAAGAGAUGAACGUUGUUGAAUAUGUUAACGGUUCGUUAAGAAUAGUGUUCAUAAAAAAGUACUUGCCAUCUUCUAUCAUUCUGUUAUUUUGUUGGGACAAACCCUAGAUUACUUUAAAGAAGUCUGAAUUCAAUCAGUUUUUUUCUCUUUGUGACAAAUAUAAAACGGACAAGUCCAUCGUAAGUGGAGGUAAACGUUUGUUUCCCAAAACGAGGAGAGAACGAGGAGAACGGUAAACGACCUUGCCAGGCGCUUGAAAAUAAUCCAACCUGACAUGGCUGCGCUUCACAGGUCGUUUGGCACUAGCGCCUCUCCCCCUAACACACACACACACACACACACACACAUACACACACACCACUCAACACCACGCAGCCUCCAGUCUGGAGGAAGGGGACGGAGGGACGCCCAGACUGUGGUUCCCAGACUCUGUAGGCCUUGUUCCGGUAGGAAGCUGCUCUGGGUUCUGCUGAUGCUAACCCUCCAUGGACACAUACUGAAUAUCUACCAACCACCACUAUCUCACCUGGUUAGUGUUAAAACAGACCCGACUUUGGCCAUCUCCACAUGCAGUUGACGUAGUUGUGAGGCAGACCUGCAUAGAGUUGGUUUUAGCACUGUAAUCAAUACAUGGCCUCUGUCCUGGGGAAGGGGAGGGAUCACCUCUGGACCCUUUUUGAAGCAGAAGCAGCAGCAGCUGAGAGGUGUGCAUGCAUGAAGGAUUACAGUACUAUAGUAGCUGUGCUGUGAGUUAGUGUGUGAGUGUAUGAACACACACACACACACACACACACACACACACACACACACACACACACACACACACACACACACACACACACACACACACACACA
ensembl:lncRNA